rfam:Myotis lucifugus cont2.572, whole genome shotgun sequence.
GGUGGUUCUCCGGUGAAGCAGCCCAGAAUCGGGCUCCCUCCUCUCUGUUCUGGGUGCAUCACUCGAGAACCUCA